rnacentral:rRNA from 1 species
GGGUCAGUAGGUUGGUCGUGCCACCGGUACGUACUGGUCUCACUGAUUCCUCCUUCCUGAAGAACCGUAAUGCCAUUAAUUUGGUGCUGCGGGGAAACAGGACUGUUACUUUGAAAAAAUUAGAGUGUUUAAAGCAAGCUAACGCUUAAAUACAUUAGCAUGGAAUAAUGAAAUAGGACGAUCGAUCCUAUUUUGUUGGUUUCUAGGAUUGACGUA